rnacentral:rRNA from 1 species
UCGUGGAGUGAUCUGUCUGCUUAAUUGCGUUUCAGAUAUAAUGCUACGUGGACGACUCAAUGCACAUGCAUUUGUUUGUGUGUGUGUUGUACGGCCCUAGCGUGUGAAAGCAACGAACGUGACCGCAACCCAUUGUUACCAAGCGUGGUCUAUCGCCUCUAGUAACUAUGGGGACUGCCAGGGUUUGUCAAACCGGAGGAAGGUUGCGGCAAUAACA